AACGAACGCUGGCGGCAUGCCUAACACAUGCCAGUCGAACGAGACCUUCGGGUCUAGUGGCGCACGGGUGCGUAACGCGUGGGAACCUGCCCUUAGGUUCGGAAUAACUCCCCGAAAGGGGUGCUAAUACCGGAUAAUGUCUUCGGACCAAAGAUUUAUCGCCUUUGGAUGGGCCCGCGUUGGAUUAGCUAGUUGGUAGGGUAAAAGCCUACCAAGGCGACGAUCCAUAGCUGGUCUGAGAGGAUGAUCAGCCGCACUGGGACUGAGACACGGCCCAGACACCUACGGGAGGCAGCAGUGGGGAAUAUUGGACAAUGGGCGAAAGCCUGAUCCAGCAAUGCCGCGUGAGUGAUGAAGGCCUUAGGGUUGUAAAGCUCUUUUACCCGGGAUGAUAAUGACAGUACCGGGAGAAUAAGCUCCGGCUAACUCCGUG
rnacentral:rRNA from 1 species